rnacentral:lncRNA from 1 species
AAUCAGAGGCCGGGUUUUCAACUUGUCCAUACCUGUUCCAGUUGUUUAGUUCUCUCCGCCUCGCCUACAUGUCGCCUAGGCAGUUCGCCGUUUGUUUGAAAACGCGUCGCCUGAUUCAACAAGUCGCAACGUGCAUGCCAUGCCGCCCCCGAAACCACUGCAGUUUUUAAAUUGUAUCAUCCCACGGCUGUUCCACGCUCGAGUGGACCUUCGAAGUGCGUUUCUUUUUGGAUUCUAUCGCGUUCCGUGGCGAACCGUUCCGAUACAGGGUAGUUUUAAGGUUUUGAGUUUCCUCUCUUCACCACGCGGUCCGGUCAUUCGGUCUAUCACUCAGUGUUGUGCGUUCGGAAUUCAAGGCCCCGGUUAACAUCUCCUCUGUCCUCGAUGUUGUGAAUUCUUUGUUAUGUGCAGGGCCUCCGUUUUGCGUAUUUUAGGACGCAGUGCGUAUUUUAUGAAGCCGCGCGUUCCAUUGUGCGUCUUGCUAUAGGUGACUUCAUACAUAUUGCUUAAAAAAACAUUUUUUCUCCAAAUUUCAAACAUGGCUAAAAUUGAAAUACAACUUUAAUGUUAGAUUCACAACGGCGUAAUUUUCUCGUACGACCUAAGCAAUUUAAAUACUUAUCUAAAGCUUAAAAUUUGAAACUGGCGCUCAUCAGUGACGUUUCUAACCUCACGGUCAUGACGUCAUGACGUUGCGUUGGCGUAUUUUUAAAACAUUUCUCUGGAAUUGGUGCAUUCUCCGCGUUUGAUUGGCGUAUUAUAUGACUAAACGUGCGUCCCGUGCGUAUUUUAUAAAAUUUACACGCGUUCCAUUGGGCGUAUUAUAUCGCUGGGAGGGGCGUUCCAUUGCGUUCCAUUACGCGUAUUAUCUGAAUUCUCACCGCGGAAGCCCUGGUUAUGUGCGUUAAAUCGUCAAAGCUCGAGUGAUUCAUGCGCUAAUAAUUGUCGCGCGCCGAGAAUUCGUGUCCUUUCCAAUGUCUGAUCGUGUGAAGGCGUGCUCCGAACACGACUGUCCGGCUGGAGAUCCUUGCUCAUCGCCUGUUCCAUGUUGGUUUGGCUCUGGAAUCGAGGAAGCAAAAUAUCUUUGCGGAGGAUUGAAUUAUGUUUCCCACAGGAAAGGAAAUAUUCUCGCGUGGGAAACAUUUCAUACGGCUGGCGGAACCCUUCUUGAAUCAGAAGAAAACAUGCAUUCUAUCAUUAUCUGCAUUUUCAAUGUGACUCCAUUUUCAGCAUGUGCCGUCAACUCAGCUCACUGGCAACUUACAACAGGCUCAAUAACUCACUAGUGAAUUAUGACCUGUAACUCUCAAAACAACUCAUGAUGUAAGUUAUGACACACGAAUUUGCAGCCCUACUGUAAACUACUCGGCAAUCCUGUGGAAGUAGUCCAGGCUAGAUAAGAUGUGCAAUGCCGCACUAAUGUCAAAUAAAUAUGGUCACUAUAUGAAUUUGAGAAUUGGAUGGUGAUUAGUCUAGAGCAUCCGUCUUUUAACUCACGAUAAGCAAAAUAUACGAAACCAUCUAGAAGACUUACGCAGCAACACUUCAGUCCAAACCAUUGUGAACAUCUAUGUCCGUAAAGCCAAGGAAAUCUUCUAAGCCCUUAAUGCCCCAUUUGAAUACCAUCAAGAUACCACAAUAUAUGAGAUUUUUCAGUUUUCGGCUACUCACUUUGUAAAUUUGAAAUAUAAAAUUGUCAUAUAUUAACAUCCUCUUGCACGUUGUUUUUUACUAAAGCAUGGCCUGAGUCGCGAUCAUUGCAUAUAUUUGAAAACUCAGCUAUUAGCUCAACUUUUGUUUUCACAAUAUAUGAGUAUAGAUGAAUACCUUGAGGAAAUUGUCAGCCAGAAAUGCGUAACUACGCACCGCCAAUGACUGCAUAUUUGACACCUUACUCCUCGAAACAAGUCCUAAGUGCGCAGUCCGGAACGAAAUUAUGCAAACUCAGACUAGGCGGUCAACACAUUCCAUUACAUCAAAAUCCCACUUGUAGCCACUUUACAGCUUAGACAACGUUCUCAAUUGAUACCUGAUACAAAAUACGUCUGAGUAUAGCUGUUACAGCAUGAGAGGUAUGAAACAGGAUACAUACCAAUCAGCAGGACUCAACUGAUUUUUACUGCCGAUUUACUUCAUAACUAAGCAUAUAUGCAUUGAACCUCCAUGAAUCUAUUUCGAGAUAAAAUAAUGAAUUAAUUAAUUACCUGAAACUGAAAAUUAGACGAUUCGGCCUGAAAUGUACAUGCACUAAUGUAACCUCAAAAACAAAACGGCGCCAAAAUAUCAACCGGUUGAAUUCAUCAUUCCAUAGAUGAUCGUUCCGACGUUCCAAAAAAAACUUAUAAUUUUUGCCCGGAUGUAAUUCCAUACGAGGUAAACCUUUUCGAGACUCAUUGACAUAAUUUAAAACAUAAUUUGCGCAAGAGUAACCAUCCAAUAUGAAUUGGAUAUCCAUAUUGGCACAAUGCAAGUGAAGAAUUUCAGAAUUAUAAGGAUUGAUCAUACAUUCGUCCACAUUACGUUUCAAUAAAACCAUUGGUCUUUUAAUGUUGCUUCGUAUGAUUUUCAGGUACUCUUCUUCAUUCAAUUAUCACAGAAAAAAGUAGAUUCUCACUUCAAAGAUAUUGAGUGCAGUCAGGUGAAUGCUUUGAGCACUCCUCCCCCCCCCUUCUUCCUCCUUUCAUUAGAUAGGUUUACAAUUUGAGUUCCUAAGUUAGUACUCCCUCUGGUUACGUUAUCUUCUACAGUAUUUCUAAAAACUGAUCUUAAGGUCCAUCAAAAAAAGGCAAAAGAAAUUGGGCCUGUCACCAUAGGUAUGUUAGUUUUAAAGGUAUUUUCUUACCAUUUCACAUGCUGUAGCAGUUUUUAGGAUACAAUAACGGUUUACAUGUUCUUCAUCUGUCAAUUAUUCUUCCUGUAAUUCUCUUAACCUAUAGUCACACGUUGCCACCCAAUAGGCUUUUGCCGUUUCGUGCGGCUUUGUACUAUUUCUCAACCAUUCUUUUUCUCCAGUAUUUCUGGCGGCAAAUCUGCAAAGAAAAAGAUCCCUGAUGAAAUACAAAGGUAUAAUAAUCACUUUUGAAACAAUAUUGAUGGAUUUUUUACUCUUGAACUUAUUGAAAUUCUUUGAUUAAAUGCAGGAAAAAGGAGAAGAUGGCAUGAAAAACUUGAGUACCUUUUACUAUGGUGUCUAGUAGUCAAUAAGGUUUUUAGACCUUACUUAUAGCCUUCACAUUUGUAUUUAUGUGAAAUUUUCAAAAGGUGGCUCCUAUCUUAUGCAGCGUCAAUCGAAGUAUGUAAAAGAAAUAAGGAAAUAAUUUUAUCAUGAAUUGAAAAACGUAAAAAACUGGUCUUUCUAUGUGGUAGAAUUGAUUGAUGAUUUAUGCAGAAAUCAACAUUUUUCAGGUACCAUUCAGGAACUUUGAUGGACAGGAAAUGGACUGCGUUUAACAGAUAAGAUCCAACGAACAUAAUACGAAAUUUAAUUGGGAAGUCUAAUUUUUUCAUGAGAAUGUAAGUGCAGACUCUGUAGCAAAUUCCAGUGAAUUUUCUACAUGGUGCAAAGCAAAUUGCCCGACAUUUUCAAGAGAAUCUGCACAACCGUUCUCCUGUAAAAAUUAAAAUUACUGGGUUAAAUUUGGCAAUAGCUCAUGUUGGUCGGAUCCUCUCUGCUAGACGUAGUCAAAUUCUUAGAUGACAUUUUUACAUUUAAAAAUGCAAAAUCUUAUUUUCUUUUAUAAAAAAAAGAAAGAAAGAAGAAAGAAAAAAAACAACCCUUUCAGCACUCUUUCCUGCAACAUCCUUUAAAUUACAAUACAACUCUGUUAUAAGAGCUAUAAUCAUUUAAAUAAAAAUAUUAAUCAGGAUUUCUAACAGAAUUGAUUUGAACUUAAGGUAAGUGGACCAGUGUAUGCCACCUUAAGGACAAUUUUGACUUCAAUUAACUCCCGAAAUUUCAAUUUUUGAUGGAUUGCAAAUUUUAUACCUCCAAAUGAUAGAUAAACUGUUGUAGUUUUGAAAUAUAAUCAGAAAUUAAGUACUUUUUAAUUUCAGUAGUCAACAAAACUGAUUUUAGGGAAAAAACUCAAGUGCACCGGUGAAUGCCAUCUUCGGAGCAGUGUUUGCCAGUAAGUGCACCAGUAAAUGCCAUACCCCUGAGGAUGUUAAUUACUUUGGUGAAAAAAGCUUCUAAAUGGAGAAGGAUUGUUGAAUUAAAAUUCAAAGUGGAAUCCAACAUUGUUACUAUGAUCAUAACUUAGAAAAUACAGAAAAUAUGAAAAAAUUACUCUGAAUUUCUCUCAAAUUCUCCCCCUCCGCAGUUACUUUUCAGAGUUCAACUGAGCCUAUGAAUAUGGAAUGACAUAAAUCCAGGCAAUGAGCACUGCUUUUAAAGUGUAGCAUGUAUAAAUGAUGAUAUCAAUAAAGUUUCCAAAUUCAAAACCCUCUAAAAAUUCUAGCUAGAUUUAUCUAUAAAUAGGAAUCCAAUGUCUCAGAAGAAGAAAUCACAACCUGAUUGUUAGCGUUACCUAUUUGAACGUUGCCGCAAGGUAUCAUCACCUAGAUCUAUGUGGCUACUAUAAUAUUUUGAAGAUUAUUUAGUUAUUUCUGAAGGAAAUUUAAGGUUGAUGAAGAAGAUUUUUUUUUCAAUUUAAUUCAAUUUAAUGUAUCAAAAUUAAAACAGUUAAGUAUCAAGUAAAAAAGUACCAAAGAAAUACUUGAAAAUAGAAAAACAGAAAAAUAAACUUUUGUAUUGAAAUUUAAAUGUAACCUUAAUUUGAACUUUAAAUCUAAUAACACAGUUAAACAAAAUACAAAUGUUUUUAUUUUACUUUGGAAUUUUUGCUC